rnacentral:sRNA from 1 species
UGAAACUAAACAACCACCGGCUAAAGCCGGUGGUUGUUUAGUUUGGUCUCAUUAUUGAAAAAUCAAAUUUGCCGUCCCGGCA